rnacentral:rRNA from 1 species
UAAGGAAUAUUGGUCAAUGGACGCAAGUCUGAACCAGCCAUGCCGCGUGAAGGAUGAAGGCCCUCUGGGUUGUAAACUUCUUUUAUCUGGGACGAAAAAAGGGUUUUUGAACUCACUUGACGGUACCAGAGGAAUAAGCACCGGCUAACUCCGUGCCAGCAGCCGCGGUAAUACGGAGGGUGCAAGCGUUAUCCGGAUUUACUGGGUUUAAAGGGUGCGUAGGUGGGUAAGUAAGUCAGUGGUGAAAUCUCCGGGCUUAACCCGGAAACUGCCAUUGAUACUAUUUAUCUUGAAUACUUUGGAGGUAAGCGGAAUAUGUCAUGUAGCGGUGAAAUGCUUAGAUAUGACAUAGAACACCAAUUGCGAAGGCAGCUUACUACACAGUGAUUGACACUGAGGCACGAAAGCGUGGGGAUCAAACAG